rnacentral:rRNA from 1 species
AUGCAUCAGUACAAGGAUCCAUGUUCUUUCCAAUUGAUGUUGAAGCCUCAACUCCAAGGGCCAGCAGUAUGCGGUACGUUCUUCUCUAGGAAACAACAGAUCUGUCUUGUUCUGAACAUACCAAUGAUAUAUGAUGGGCAAGGUGUAAUUUUUUUCAUGUCUUAUACGGAUGUUGUCCUGGUGGCCGACGGCAAUAGCACUCGGAUAACUGCGGUGAUUGAAUCCUUCCCGUCGGCGACAUACGUAUAUGCAUCCCCAUUCAGGCGUUCAAGAGAGGCGCUAGAAACUACUCACAUCAGCAUGGCAUCACAAUCCCCACCAUUAAUUCAGCUAAUCCUGCGCUCCCACCGAGUCACCUACAUCAUGAGUUGCUUCUCACAAACUGUUCAGAUGAACAAACUUGUCUUUUUUGUCAAACUGCAGCAGAUUUGA